AACGCUAGCUACAGGCUUAACACAUGCAAGUCGAGGGGUAACGAGAGGAAAGCUUGCUUUCCUUGUCGACGACCGGCGCACGGGUGAGUAACGCGUAUCCAACCUGCCCCCAACUAGGGAAUAACCUUGCGAAAGUAAGACUAAUACCCUAUAAUUUCCUCAGAUGUCAUCUGACGAGGAAUAAAGAUUUAUCGGUUGUGGAUGGGGAUGCGUCUGAUUAGCUUGUUGGCGGGGUAACGGCCCACCAAGGCAACGAUCAGUAGGGGUUCUGAGAGGAAGGUCCCCCACAUUGGAACUGAGACACGGUCCAAACUCCUACGGGAGGCAGCAGUGAGGAAUAUUGGUCAAUGGGCGGAAGCCUGAACCAGCCAAGUAGCGUGCAGGAUGACGGCCCUAUGGGUUGUAAACUGCUUUUAUACAGGAAUAAAGUUAGCCACGUGUGGUUAUUUGUAGGUACUGUAUGAAUAAGGACCGGCUAAUUCCGUGCCAGCAGCCGCGGUAAUACAGAAGGUCCAGGCGUUAUCCGGAUUUAUUGGGUUUAAAGGGAGCGUAGGCCGUCUGUUAAGCGUGUUGUGAAAUGUAGAUGCUCAACAUCUGAAUUGCAGCGCGAACUGGCAGACUUGAGUGUGCGCAACGUAGCGGAAUUCGUGGUGUAGCGGUGAAAUGCUUAGAUAUCACGAAGAACUCCGAUUG
rnacentral:rRNA from 1 species